UACAACAUAUCACUAAUGCAAUGGAUUCCAUUAGAACUCAACAGUUAAGCACAUUUGGGAUAGAGUAGUACUUGGAUGGGUGACCACCAGAGAAGCCCUAGUGUUUUAC
rnacentral:rRNA from 1 species